AGACAACACUAGAUGGGGUGGUCAGGGAAGGUCUGUUGAGCUGAGGCUGAAGGUUGAGAAAGGCCAGGAAGGACUUACUUGGGAAAAUGUUUGUGGUGAUAUGUAUGAGUGCUGCAGGUGAAACAAAAAGGAAGCCAGUGUAGUUGGAUCAGAUACCUCAAAUCAGCUAUGCAUCCACAGCCCCAGAGCUAAGUGAUAACACCAGGUAUGACUUUUUCUCUCGAGUGGUUCCGCCUGACUCCUACCAAGCCCAAGCCAUGGUGGACAUCGUGACAGCACUGGGAUGGAAUUAUGUUUCGACACUGGCUUCUGAGGGGAACUAUGGUGAGAGCGGUGUGGAGGCCUUCACUCAGAUCUCGAGGGAGAUUGAAAAUGUAUGAAAGGCCUGGUCUUGUUGGACAGAUUGGGCUAAUUGAUUUAAUUGGACAACUGUUCACACCUGCUGUGGUGUUUGCAUUGCUCAGUCACAGAAAAUCCCACGUGAACCAAGACCUGGAGAAUUUGAAAAAAUUAUCAGACGCCUGCUAGAAACACCUAAUGCUCGAGCAGUGAUUAUGUUUGCCAAUGAGGAUGACAUCAGGAGGAUAUUGGAAGCAGCAAAAAAACUAAACCAAAGUGGGCAUUUUCUCUGGAUUGGCUCAGAUAGUUGGGGAUCCAAAAUAGCACCUGUCUAUCAGCAAGAGGAGAUUGCAGAAGGGGCUGUGACAAUUUUGCCCAAACGAGCAUCAAUUGAUGGAUUUGAUCGAUACUUUAGAAGCCGAACUCUUGCCAAUAAUCGAAGAAAUGUGUGGUUUGCAGAAUUUUGGGAGGAGAAUUUUGGCUGCAAGUUAGGAUCACAUGGGAAAAGGAACAGUCAUAUAAAGAAAUGCACAGGGCUGGAGCGAAUUGCUCGGGAUUCAUCUUAUGAACAGGAAGGAAAGGUCCAAUUUGUAAUUGAUGCUGUAUAUUCCAUGGCUUACGCCCUGCACAAUAUGCACAAAGAUCUCUGCCCUGGAUACAUUGGCCUUUGUCCACGAAUGAGUACCAUUGAUGGGAAAGAGCUACUUGGUUAUAUUCGGGCUGUAAAUUUUAAUGGUUGCCUAAGAGGGAUCCAGAUGUCUCUACCCUGGCCAACUCUUUUUACUCCUUCAUUUUCCAGUAGUUGGGCAGUGCUGGCACUGUGAACGCUGUGAAGGUUACAACUACCAGGUGGAUGAGCUGUCCUGUGAACUUUGCCCUCUGGAUCAGAGACCCAACAUGAACCGCACAGGCUGCCAGCUUAUCCCCAUCAUCAAAUUGGAGUGGCAUUCUCCCUGGGCUGUGGUGCCUGUGUUUGUUGCAAUAUUGGGAAUCAUCGCCACCACCUUUGUGAUAGUGACCUUUGUCCGCUAUAAUGACACACCUAUCGUGAGGGCUUCAGGACGCGAACUUAGUUACGUGCUCCUAACGGGGAUUUUUCUCUGUUAUUCAAUCACGUUUUUAAUGAUUGCAGCACCAGAUACAAUCAUAUGCUCCUUCCGACGGAUCUUCCUAGGACUUGGCAUGUGUUUCAGCUAUGCAGCCCUUCUGACCAAAACAAACCGUAUCCACCGAAUAUUUGAGCAGGGGAAGAAAUCUGUCACAGCGCCCAAGUUCAUUAGUCCAGCAUCUCAGCUGGUGAUCACCUUCAGCCUCAUCUCCGUCCAGCUCCUUGGAGUGUUUGUCUGGUUUGUUGUGGAUCCCCCCCACAUCAUCAUUGACUAUGGAGAGCAGCGGACACUAGAUCCAGAGAAGGCCAGGGGAGUGCUCAAGUGUGACAUUUCUGAUCUCUCACUCAUUUGUUCACUUGGAUACAGUAUCCUCUUGAUGGUCACUUGUACUGUUUAUGCCAUUAAAACGAGAGGUGUCCCAGAGACUUUC
rnacentral:sRNA from 1 species